CCUACGGGAGGCAGCAGUGGGGGAUAUUGCACAAUGGUGGGAACCCUGAUGCAGCGACGCCGCGUGGAUGAUGGAGCGUUUCGGCGCGUAAAGCCCUAUUGGCAGGGAAGAUGAUGACGGUAUCUGACCAAUAAGCACCGGCUAACUACGUGCCAGCAGCCGCGGUAAUACGGAGGGGGCAAGCGUUAUCCGGAUUUACUGGGUGUAAAGGGGGCGCAGGCGGGAAUGCAAGCCAGAUGUGAAAGCCCAGGGCCCAACCCCGGGACUGCAUUUGAAACUGUUUGGCUGGAGUACGGGAGGGGUAGGCGGAAUUCCUGGUGUAGGGGUAAAAUGCGUAGAUAUUAAGAGGAACACCGAUGGCGAAGGCGACCUGCUAGACUAUGACUGACGUUGAGGCCCGAAGGCGUGGGGAGCAAACAGGAUUAGAUACCCUUGUAGUC
rnacentral:rRNA from 1 species